AGCGGCAACUUUCUCGAGCAUUAAGCUGCAACAUUACAGAGCAACCCAGCUGAAUGUUUGGUGUUUUCUUGUGCAGGUACAAAGCACAUCACUGAGAUGCUGGGAUGCCCUCUGCCCUCAUCACCUUCAAAAACACGGUGACAUCAGCUGGAAUGUGAGGAAGACGAGGAGCAGCCUUUUAGUAAUCAAGUUCCGACUUCCAGUCUGAAGUGUCUCCUCAUGUCCUGUGACAGAUGGAUGUGGGCGUCCUGUGGCAACUCCUCACAAAGACCUCUCCAGUGAAGAGGACAAAGGGUGGAGGACACGAGUGCUCGGAGAGAGACGACUAUAUCAGCCCCCUGUGGCACUGUUUACGCACAUUAAUGGGCUAAUGACUAAGUACAGCUCCCUAUGCCUCAAGUUAAGUAAAUAUUUAGACACUCGACUGCCCUUUGUGGAUGCGUGUGACAGUGAGAGCCACACACAGGACAGAGACUCGACAGCGGUCGGUCGUGCCUUCACAGAAUAAACCACGGGCACAUGUUUACACGUUCGUGAAUCCCUGGAAGAAGAGUAACUCUUCCCGCUCCACCACUGCUCAGAUUUGCAUACUGCAGACGUCCUUUGUCGCCAGCCAUUGAUGGUGGCAGAUCUGCUGAAGCUUUCAUCGCCAUCUUCAUUCAUCGCUCACCCGGAAGCUACAGCGCUAUUAUGGAAAUUUCUUUUCUCUGUUUAUUUUCACACAAAACUUUAGAAAGAAAGAGAAAAACAAAUCUCUCCCAACUUCCCGCUUCACUUCGCCUCUUUGUCAGAGCUGGUAAUCGAAACCACCGUUUCCCACCAGUAAAAUAUUAUAAUGGGAUUCACACUCAAAAGGAUUCAUCUCAAAAGCCACAGUGUCGUUUCAUGCAAACAGCUGAUGUGUGUGGCGGGAUCAUGUGUGGAGCAGGAGAGAGAUUCUGUUAGGCCCAUGUGCUUAUCAUUACAGACAACCCGCGGAGAGGUAGAUCCCAAAAAGCACCAUCACAACCGUCUUCUUCAACUACAGGAAGAGCCUCCAACCAAACAGCAGCAGGAUGAUGGGAGGCUGCAAACACCUGAACUCACAUGGUGCUCUGGUUCUGUUGUUCUGCCUACUCCGGACCUGCUCCGUCCACAGAGUCGGGUACUGGGAAAUGAUAUCUGGAAGAAAACCAGCAGAAUCGUUUGAUUAAUUGGAAACACACCCAUCGGCAAAGCGGCCAAAUCCACAGAUGAAACAAGGUCCCUCAACUGGUGGUGGAAAAGUGACAGCUGAGAGCAGGAAUAUGGAACAGAAGUAGUCACGACUGCGGCUCUCUGCAAGCCAUCAAACGGGACAACCGAUGGAGUUGACAAACAAAAAAAGAUAAGACAACGUCUGGUGAGUCUGGAUUUGGCGGGACAGGACUUCAUGGAUGAACGUGUCCUUACAGGAGGUUCUAAUCUGGGCACCCAAACAAACCAGCAUGCAAAUCCCAUCACCUCCCCCCCGAAACUCUGAGGCUUUGUGGGCCUGAAUGAAGCGCGGCGAAGGCGAGACUCCAGCAGAGAGCACAUUGUAGGCUGAUAAGGGCCUUCUGGACUCGAAGGCCCCCACUUGCAGCACCUCGAGAGGCCCCUCACACCGCGGCCUUGCGGGGUCAACGGGGGCCCCGGCAGAGA